rnacentral:lncRNA from 1 species
CGCUCCUCGGAGUCCCCCCGCGCCCCGGAGUCCACCCGCGCCCCGGAGUCCACCCGCGCAGGUCCACUUCUCCAUCCCUGCUCUCGACCUCCGCCCCUGCGGUGGGGGAAGUUCCUGGGGCGGUGGCUGGGACCAGGCCGGGUUUUAGGCGGGCGCAGAUUUCCGGGCUAACUUUCCUCGCCGUCUCAGCGCGGGAAGGGGGAAAUGGGAAACCCGGGCCAGAGCAGCGGAGCUUCCCAGCCGCACACUUCCUCCCUCCAGCCGUUUGUCUCGGCAGGGGAGGGCCCAGGCAGCCAAGCCGGCAGGCCCACUGGUUAUCCGACCUUGUGCUCUGGCCGUGGGUGGAGACCUUACAUCCAGCUCAGAGCGCCUCCUCCCAUCCCCUGUGUCCUCUAGGCCUCCCCAGACUUUGCCUUUUAGCCUUCCAGUGAAACAAGUUCUGUAUCCAAGAUAUACAAUUAAGUGGACAAAGCAGAUUGCAGAAAGUCUUUUCGUAGCUCACAAGGGGACAUCAAAGAUGACAAAGAGGAGUGGAAGAAGACAGAGAGAAUCAAUGUGAGGAGCCUGGAACAGGGCUCUGAAUUGUCUUCCCACAGUGAAAUCACUUGUCUAUUGCUGAGCCAAGAAUUUGACUCUGAGCAUCUAGGAUGAGAAAGAAGAACUGGCACCUACGCCAUCUCUGCCCCUCGGGACUGACUAUUUUGGCCCAGUUUCCUCAACAAUGAAAUGGGACUAAUUAUCCCAGGUCACACUUCUCUCUGGGCUUACCCUGGGAAUCAGAUGAUUGAGCUUUGUCUUCUAGUAAAAUUGAUGCUCCAAGAAGAUACACAACGUUGACCAUGUGGAUUCAGAUAUCUCCCGCUUGGAUCUCAGCCUGGAUCUUGUUGUUUGAGAAGCAUAGAUUAGCUACAGAAUGCCAUGUCAUACAUCCAAUAAAAUUCAACUCUGCAAGCAUGAGAGAGAAGAGGAAGGAAAAGAGAGAAUCUGAAGUAGUUGGAUCACUAGAGGGCAAUAUCGGCCAAGAGAAAGAAGAAUUCUUCACCACCGUUUCUAGGACUGGUGAAGGUGCUGUGCUGGAGAGAGCAUGUGGAGAGACACCACAGAGAGUGAUGUCCAAGGAUCCUCUGCUGUUCUAGCCUCCAGAUGUUUGGUACCAAAUGGAGAGUGAGUGAGGCUUCCAACCCCACCUUUGAGCCACCCCAGCUGAUCCCAGUAGAGCAGAGAUGAGCUGUCCCCACCAAGUCUUGCCCAGAUUGCAGAUCUGUGAACAAAUAAGAAUUUUUGCUUGAAGCCUCUAUGUUUUGGGGUACUUGGUCACGUAGCCCUAGGGCUAACUGAAGUAUAGUGAGAAGUGACAAGAUUCAAGGUUGUAUAGCUGCUUAGGGGAAGAACAAAGAAAGUACACUCUCCUUGCAUUCAAAGGAUAUUUCUUCAAUUUGCUUGCAGUGUGACCUUUGGCAAGCUACUGAACCUCUCUGUGCCUCAGUUUUCUCAUCUGUAUGAUAGGGAUGAAGAUGGUAUUUCUUCAGAAGGUAGUGAUGAGGAAUAAAUAUCUCAUUCUUGGCAUGUAGGAAAAAGCUAGUAAGUAGCUGGGUUGGGGUUUCAAUUCAGGCAGUCUAACCCUAGACUCUUUACUGGUAAGCUCAGGUCCAGAACAUUCCCACCAAUCCCUGAAAAGGAGGCCAGACGGCAAUAUCCCAGGUACUCCCAUUAUUUUCCCCCAUACGGCAUGAUUCUGAGUCCUCCUUGGCCGCCCUUCUCUGUUCACUGGGCCUUGAUACAUGAUUCUCUGAACUGAAGGCCGCACCAUCACU